UACGGGGGGUGCGAGCGUUGUCCGGAAUCACUGGGCGUAAAGGGCGCGUAGGUGGUGUCGUAAGUCUGUGGUGAAAGCCCGGGGCGUCAACCCGGGUCCGUGCCGCGGAGACUGCGAGACUCGAGUACUGUAGGGGCUGGUAGAAUGCCGGGUGUAGCGGUGGAAUGCGUAGAGAUCCGGCGGAAGACCGGUGGCGAAGGCGGCCAGCUGGGCAGUGACUGACACUGAGGCGCGACAGCGUGGGGAGCAAACAGG
rnacentral:rRNA from 1 species